rnacentral:lncRNA from 1 species
AAAGUGAACAUAGAAGUCAGAAGACAACCUCAGGAGUCAUUCCUCAGGGCUCCUGAACUUUCUGGAAACAAAAUUGUCUAGGUUACAGAGGCCAGUAUGUAAAGGCCACCAGAGAACUGUGGAGAGCCUCACAAGUUGACUGUCAGCAAUUUGGAAAGCGGACAGCUUCCCCAACCAACAAUCCAAGGAUGGAAGGGCUAGAGUCACAGGCGUUGAGUGACACCCACUAAGUGUACAUAAGGGAAAUAAAGCC